ensembl:lncRNA
AUGCCAGAUGGCAAUGGAUCGGGCUGUUCUAAUCUCAAUUCCAAAGAACAAACAAGAAAAACUUCACCUGAAUGUAAUCCUUCUAAUGAACACUCAGUGAAUCUUGCUCUCAAAGUGGCCACAUCUUUGCUGCAGUCAGUCAUUCUUGAAAAUAGGCCCGUUGUACUUCCUGUUAAUCUUCAGUUAGCUGGGGGUUUGCCACCUCAACUUGAUGAGACAGGGCUGUCUCCCUUGAUCUUGCCUGCUUCAAGCACAGUCUCCAUGCCACUGGUACUGGAUGAGCCUUUAAACUCCCAACUUCCACCUUCUUUACGCUCUUGUCCAUUUGCCAAUAUUCAGAUAAGCACUUUACUUGAAAACCUGCUUUCGAGUCAACCAGAAGCUUUGGUUUACCACACAGAUGCACCAGUGUUUCAAAGCCGUGAAACUGCCACGUGUUUGCAAGAUCUAAGACCAUCUCUGAGCAAUUGUGCUUCAGCAGAGUAUCAGAUGACUGGUCCAGACCAACCAAGCUCUUUACCUUCAAACUUCUGGCCACGUGAAAUUGUUCAGCCCACUAGCACACCAAUGACCUCACUGAUCCCACCAGCAACCUUGUUGGUCCCUUAUCCAUUUGUGGUCCCGUUACCAGUGCCGUUACCCAUACCAAUCCCUAUCCCUAUCCAAAUUCCUCAGAGUUUAGACUCAAAAACUUUUAUUAAAACGUCUGAAAGAGGUUCUAUGAUUGACAAAAGCACCAGAAGCAUGGCCUGCCCUGAAUUUCCGCAUACACCAUUAGUCUCUCAAGAUGAGGUGCUUGACCUCUCACUUAAGGCAACCCAAACUAAGCGGGAAUAUGUUUUAUCUGCUUCACCAAACUCAGCACUGGAUCUGUCUGUGGUAUGCUCCAAUUGUAGACUUCAGAAUGGACGAAACACAUGGACAACACAUGAAGGCAAUAGAAACAACAUCACACAUUCAAAGUAUGAGGACUACAAUGGCAAGAUUGUGUGCCCAACUCAAAGAGUCAAUGUCAUAGUGUCGCCCACAGAGACUGUUCUUCCCCCUUUAUGUGACAAACAAGGAGGUUUCUCAAGGGACUACAUGAUAAAUUCACCCAUGAAACCAGACAGGAUCCAUGAAACUGUGCCACAGCACAGCUCUAGGAGACUGUCAACAGCUCACCCACACAACAGCUUCUAG